UUUCAUGGUGUAGUGGUUUGAUGUUGGACUACGACUCUGAAGACCAGGGUUCGAAUUCCUGCUCAGCCAUGAAAA